GUUCGGGGCCAUGCUACCCUGAACAAGCCUGAUCCCAUCUGAUCUCGGAAGCUAAGCAGGGUCGGGCCUGGUUAGUACUUAGAUGGGAGACCACCUCGGAAGACCAGGUGCUGUAGGCG
rnacentral:rRNA from 1 species